rnacentral:rRNA from 1 species
GAUGAACGCUGGCGGCGUGCCUAAUACAUGCAAGUCGAGCGAACAGACGAGGAGCUUGCUCCUCUGACGUUAGCGGCGGACGGGUGAGUAACACGUGGAUAACCUACCUAUAAGACUGGGAUAACUUCGGGAAACCGGAGCUAAUACCGGAUAAUAUAUUGAACCGCAUGGUUCAAUAGUGAAAGACGGUUUUGCUGUCACUUAUAGAUGGAUCCGCGCCGCAUUAGCUAGUUGGUAAGGUAACGGCUUACCAAGGCAACGAUGCGUAGCCGACCUGAGAGGGUGAUCGGCCACACUGGAACUGAGACACGGUCCAGGCUCCUACGGGAGGCAGCAGUAGGGAAUCUUCCGCAAUGGGCGAAAGCCUGACGGAGCCACGCCGCGUGAGUGAUGAAGGUCUUCGGAUCGUAAAACUCUGUUAUUAGGGAAGAACAAAUGUGUAAGUAACUAUGCACGUCUUGACGGUACCUAAUCAGAAAGCCACGGCUAACUACGUG